AAAGCGACUCUCGGCAACGGAUAUCUCGGCUCUCGCAUCGAUGAAGAACGUAGCGAAAUGCGAUACUUGGUGUGAAUUGCAGAAUCCCGUGAACCAUCGAGUCUUUGAACGCAAGUUGCGCCCCAAGCCUUCUGGCCGAGGGCACGUCUGCCUGGGUGUCACGA
rnacentral:rRNA from 1 species